UGCUGGAGGUAUCAGAAGUGCGAAUGCUGACAUGAGUAACGAUAAAGGGAGUGAAAAACUCCCUCGCCGGAAGACCAAGGGUUCCUGUCCAACGUUAAUCGGGGCAGGGUAAGUCGACUCCUAAGGCGAGGCCGAAAGGCGUAGUCGAUGGGAAACGGGUUAAUAUUCCCGUACUUCUUACAAUUGCGAUGGGGGGACGGAGAAGGCUAGGUGGGCCUGGCGACGGUUGUCCAGGUUCAAGUAUGUAGGCGGAAAGUUUAGGUAAAUCCGGACUUUCUUAACGCUGAGAUACGAUGUCGAGCUACUACGGUAGUGAAGUCAUUGAUGCCAUGCUUCCAGGAAAAGCCUCUAAGCUUCAGAUUGUAAGGAAUCGUACCCCAAACCGACACAGGUGGUCGGGUAGAGAAUACCAAGGCGCUUGAGAGAACUCGGGUGAAGGAACUAGGCAAAAUGGUACCGUAACUUCGGGAGAAGGUACGCUCUUAUCAGUGAAGUCCCUUGCGGAUGGAGCAGACGAGAGUCGCAGAUACCAGGUGGCUGCAACUGUUUAUUAAAAACACAGCACUGUGCAAAAUCGUAAGAUGACGUAUACGGUGUGACGCCUGCCCGGUGCCGGAAGGUUAAUUGAUGGGGUUAGACUUCGGUCGAAGCUCUUGAUCGAAGCCCCGGUAAACGGCGGCCGUAACUAUAACGGUCCUAAGGUAGCGAAAUUCCUUGUCGGGUAAGUUCCGACCUGCACGAAUGGCGUAAUGAUGGCCACGCUGUCUCCACCCGAGACUCAGUGAAAUUGAAAUCGCUGUGAAGAUGCAGUGUACCCGCGGCUAGACGGAAAGACCCCGUGAACCUUUACUACAGCUUGGCACUGAACAUUGAACCUACAUGUGUAGGAUAGGUGGGAGACUAUGAAAUUGCGUCGCUAGAUGUGAUGGAGUCGUCCUUGAAAUACCACCCUUGUAGUUUUGAUGUUCUAACGUUGGUCCCUGAAUCGGGAUUACGGACAGUGCCUGGUGGGUAGUUUGACUGGGGCGGUCUCCUCCCAAAGAGUAACGGAGGAGCACGAAGGUGGGCUAAACACGGUUGGACAUCGUGUGGUUAGUGCAAUGGCAUAAGCCCGCUUGACUGCGAGAAUGACAAUUCGAGCAGGUGCGAAAGCAGGUCAUAGUGAUCCGGUGGUUCUGAAUGGAAGGGCCAUCGCUCAACGGAUAAAAGGUACUCCGGGGAUAACAGGCUGAUACCGCCCAAGAGUUCAUAUCGACGGCGGUGUUUGGCACCUCGAUGUCGGCUCAUCACAUCCUGGGGCUGAAGUCGGUCCCAAGGGUAUGGCUGUUCGCCAUUUAAAGUGGUACGCGAGCUGGGUUUAGAACGUCGUGAGACAGUUCGGUCCCUAUCUGCCGUGGGCGUUGGAAAAUUGAAAGGGGCUGCUCCUAGUACGAGAGGACCGGAGUGGACGAACCUCUGGUGUUCGGGUUGUCAUGCCAAUGGCAUUGCCCGGUAGCUAAGUUCGGAAUCGAUAACCGCUGAAAGCAUCUAAGCGGGAAGCGAGCCUUGAGAUGAGUUUUCCCUGGCACUAUAAGUGUCCUAAAGGGUUGUCGUAGACUACGACGUUGAUAGGCAGGGUGUGUAAGUGCUGCGAGGCAUUGAGCUAACCUGUACUAAUUGCCCGUGAGGCUUAACCAU
rnacentral:rRNA from 1 species